AUUCAUCAAGAAUAAAUUGAUUUGUAUUUUAUCCAAAAACCGUUAUGGUUGGUUUUAUUUUAUGAGUAAAAUUAAAAUCAUUCCACAUUUUAUUUACGGACCGGUUUCGGUUUUUAUCAGAUGAAAGUGUACGUCAUGUUUGACGUCACUUCUGCAGCAGAAGAGUUGGGUGUUGAAAAAAAACCCCAAAGCUGAUUAGACUGACGAUUGAACACAAAGCUGAUUUGACUGACGAUUUAAACCCAAAGCUGGUUUGGCAGACGAUGCAUGAUCACAAUGCAGAUUAAAAAUUUGCAGAGAGAAUGUCAAUUGGCUUAAAAAAAGAUUUAACAUCAACCCCUGGAUUUCUUUUAAGGAUACAGAAGUACAGGAGAUGCUCAGCAAUCUGGCAUAGAAGGCUGGCUGGACAUGAAAUGUUAUGGGAGUUAUGUCUAGCUUUGGAUCCACUGAAUUCACAUAUUACAGAAAUCAGAUCAGAGCAAAGCUGAUGGGUAACAAAGAAGUUGAUGUAGAGGGUCCCUCCAUUAAGUCUCUACAUAAUUAUCGAUGAAAAUGUUUCCUUCCUCCUACAAUUAUGCUAACAAAUCCAGAGAGGGAAUACUUCACACUGAUGCUAGUAUGAAAACAAGAUUAUUCUGUGCCACAAACAAAUUGUUCAGAUAGGGGACAUUGGUGGAUUUGCAUUUUGGGUACAGUUCAAAGAAUUUUCAAUAUGAUGAUGGAAGAUCAGAGGGAGAACAAAUGGGAAAAGUUGACAGAGAAAGAAAAGAAUUAGGAAAUAUCUGGAAUAAAUAUGAAUGAGAAGGAUGUACUUAAUUUUGUCAGACUUUGACAUGCAAGGCUUUCUAUUUAUUUGUAUACUGGAAUAUCAUUUUGAUUGUAAAAUCUCAUUCUAAUGUAUUCACAUUUUAUAUUUCAUGCUUUAUGCAUAAAUACAUAAACAUUUUUAUG